GCUGAACAACAAUCAAGUUGGAAAUUCUUGGAGUUGAUAGCAGGCGAGUCGGGCCAAGAGUUAAGUUAUGCCCUCGAAGUUGCAACAAAAGAUUAUACUUGGUCGUUUAAUCAAUGAUCAUUACGCCACAACGAAAUGAAGGAAAACUUUUUUUGCAAAAUGAAACUUUAGCUAAGGAUUGUACAACUGCUCUCACGAAGGAAUUGGAUACUUCACAAGAUCCAGCUGUUAGAAACAACAUCAGGAUUGUCCUUUUCGACCUUGUGUGUUAGGCAUACGAAUGAUGUCGACCGUUACAUACCAAAUAUUGUUAAAUGUUUGAACAACCUAUGAUACGUAACAAACUUUAAUCAUGAUGACACAUUGGCUCUGCAGUAUACAACCGGUUUCAGCAAACGAAAAA